UUGCUUUGGCAGUGAAUAUACUCAAGUUGCAAUGAUACAGAGAAGAUGAACAUGGUCCCUGAGCAAGGAUGACACGCACAUUCGUGAAGCGUUCCAUGUUAAA